AAUGGGCGCAAGCCUGAUCUAGCCAUGCCGCGUGAGUGAUGAAGGCCUUAGGGUCGUAAAGCUCUUUCGCCAGGGAUGAUAAUGACAGUACCUGGUAAAGAAACCCCGGCUAACUCCGUGCCAGCAGCCGCGGUAAUACGGAGGGGGUUAGCGUUGUUCGGAAUUACUGGGCGUAAAGCGCGCGUAGGCGGAUUGGAAAGUUGGGGGUGAAAUCCCGGGGCUCAACCCCGGAACUGCCUCCAAAACUAUCAAUCUAGAGUUCGAGAGAGGUGAGUGGAAUUCCGAGUGUAGAGGUGAAAUUCGUAGAUAUUCGGAGGAACACCAGUGGCGAAGGCGGCUCACUGGCUCGAUACUGACGCUGAGGUGCGAAAGUGUGGGGAGCAAACAGGAUU
rnacentral:rRNA from 1 species